CGCUAAUAAAUAUGUUUGUGUUAUUAUAAAUUGCUUCUAUUUUUAACCAUUGACAAGUUGCAUCACUCAGAAGAGCAACAGAACUACAAGCUUCAUAGUUUUAAUUACAAGCACAGGGAUGAAAUCUCAGCCAGGCAUUAUUUGCCAUUCUAAAAUGUACAUGACAUCAACUUUCAUAUAUUAUAGAAGUUGCCCCGAAAGGUAUCUAUAUCUGAUAAGAAAAGCCACAAAAUUCUAACUUCGCCUUGGCUUCAGGAGGGCUUAAUAAUGACAGGUCAAAAUUCACAGGAAUAGGGGCAUAUCGGAUGAGCACUGACCAAAAGUUCAACAUCUACAAUAAUCCAAGUGUUAAUAAUGGGCAUAAAAGUGCACUAUUCUGCAUAAUGCAAUAUCUCAAGGACGAGCUUCCUUGAAGCCAACAAUGGCUAUAGGGACAUCUGUACCUCUAAUGCAAAGCUGCUCAUACUCAGUUGACUGGCCCCUUGAGGUGCACCUUUCAGCUAAUUUCAGGCAAACACACCCAGUGAACAACAAAAUUCCAGACAGUAUCCAACUAAAUUGCAAAUUGGCCAGGGCCCUAGCCCUUAAGUCUGCAUCAAUAGAUCCGCAAGCGACUGCUCCAUGUAUGUCAUAAGUGCUGGUCUCAGGCAACUGAAUAGCACAACCCUUAGGUACAAAUCCAGGAAUCCAUAGCACAAACCCCAUGAUCAUAAACCAACAGCCUUGGAAUACAACAGAAAUCGAAAGAACAAGAGCUGCAGGAAAACUGGAUGGAAAACUAGUUGCAGCUAAAGCUGACACAAGGGACACAAACACUAUGAGCUGCAAAAGCCAAUGAUAAUGACCUUCAAGUCCAACAUGGUCAGUUGAGUGGAAAUGGAGCAGGAAAAGUUCUUGACAAAAAACAGAGGCUGCAAGUAUUCCGCUGACCCCAGAAAGGAUUUCAGAUGAAUGAGUUACCUCUGCAGAAAGUGUGAAACCUGCAAAUAUGGCAAGAUGAAGAAACAUGGUUGCAUGUUCAAAGUUGUCAAGCUUGAAAGCAAAGUGGAGGAAAGGGAAAUCUAAAAGUUGCAAAAAAAUUGCAAAGACAGAGAAAAACAGGAUGAAGAUAAGCUCCAAGUGUUUGAGUCGUGAAAGAGGGCUGUGAAAUGGGUACCAAAACUUCACAUUGAAGUUAGUAGAGCCUUUGAGGCAGUAGGCUCUGAUAGUGUUGAUGGUGUGCCAUAAUCCAAGGAGGAUUAAAGCCAAAGCAGGUAGAAUAUGCCCUGCAAAAGUGCCCAUGAAAGCUUCUCUAGUCAGUCUCCAUUGCAAUAGCCACCCAAAGCUUUAAAUACCAGAAGUAAAUGCAAAUACAUUGUGGCAGAAAAUAUUUCAAGCAACAGGAGUAUACUAUGGCAAUCUAUUCAAAAAUUGAGUGCAUGUUGCAUGUGUUCCCACAAAGGAAAAUGCAAGAAAAGACACAGCGUGUAACAAUGGGACAUCACAAAAGCCGC
rnacentral:misc_RNA from 1 species